rnacentral:rRNA from 1 species
GACGAACGCUGGCGGCGUGCCUAAUACAUGCAAGUAGAACGCUGAAGAGAGGAGCUUGCUCUUCUUGGAUGAGUUGCGAACGGGUGAGUAACGCGUAGGUAACCUGCCUGGUAGCGGGGGAUAACUAUUGGAAACGAUAGCUAAUACCGCAUAAAAUGGAUUAUCGCAUGAUAAUCAAUUGAAAGGUGCAAAUGCAUCACUACCAGAUGGACCUGCGUUGUAUUAGCUAGUUGGUGGGGUAACGGCUCACCAAGGCGACGAUACAUAGCCGACCUGAGAGGGUGAUCGGCCACACUGGGACUGAGACACGGCCCAGACUCCUACGGGAGGCAGCAGUAGGGAAUCUUCGGCAAUGGACGGAAGUCUGACCGAGCAACGCCGCGUGAGUGAAGAAGGUUUUCGGAUCGUAAAGCUCUGUUGUAAGAGAAGAACGAGUGUGAGAGUGGAAAGUUCA